rnacentral:rRNA from 1 species
CUACGGGAUGCUCCAGUGGGGAAUCUUAGACAAUGGGGGAAACCCUGAUCUAGCCAUGCCGCGUGAGUGAUGAAGGCCUUAGGGUCGUAAAGCUCUUUCGCCAGGGAUGAUAAUGACAGUACCUGGUAAAGAAACCCCGGCUAACUCCGUGCCAGCAGCCGCGGUAAUACGGAGGGGGUUAGCGUUGUUCGGAAUUACUGGGCGUAAAGCGCGCGUAGGCGGGCUGUUAAGUUAGAGGUGAAAUCCCGGGGCUCAACCCCGGAACUGCCUUUAAUACUGGCAGCCUAGAGUUCGAGAGAGGUGAGUGGAAUUCCGAGUGUAGAGGUGAAAUUCGUAGAUAUUCGGAGGAACACCAGUGGCGAAGGCGGCUCACUGGCUCGAUACUGACGCUGAGGUGCGAAAGCGUGGGGAGCAAACAGGAUUAGAUACCCGGGUAGUC